CACGUGGGUAACCUGCCUGUAAGACUGGGAUAACUCCGGGAAACCGGAGCUAAUACCGGAUAGUUCCUUGAACCGNAUGGUUCAAGGAUGAAAGACGGUUUCGGCUGUCACUUACANAUGGACCCGCGGCGCAUUAGCUAGUUGGUGGGGUAAUGGCUCACCAAGGCGACGAUGCGUAGCCGACCUGANAGGGUGAUCGGCCACACUGGGACUGAGACACGGCCCAGACUCCUACGGGAGGCAGCAGUAGGGAAUCUUCCGCAAUGGACGAAAGUCUGACGGAGCAACGCCGCGUGAGUGAUGAAGGUUUUCGGAUCGUAAAGCUCUGNUGUUAGGGAAGAACAAGUGCGAGAGUAACUGCUCGCACCUUGACGGUGCCUAACCAGAAAGCCNCGGCUAACUACGUGCCAGCAGCCGCGGUAAUACGUAGUUGGCAAGCGUUGUCCGGAAUUAUUNGGCGUAAAGGCUNGCANGCGGUUUCUUAAGUCUGAUGUUAAAGCCCCCGGCUCAACCUGGGAGGGUCAUUGUAAACUGGGAAA
rnacentral:rRNA from 1 species